UACAGAGGGUGCGAGCGUUGUCCGGAAUCACUGGGCGUAAAGGGCGCGUAGGCGGUCUCUUAAGCGUGUGGUGAAAGCCCGGGGCUCAACUCCGGGUCGGCCGUGCGAACUGGGAGACUGGAGCUUGUCAGAGGCAGGCGGAAUUCCGGGUGUAGCGGUGGAAUGCGUAGAGAUCCGGAAGAACACCGGUGGCGAAGGCGGCCUGCUGGGACAGUGCUGACGCUGAGGCGCGACAGCGUGGGGAGCAAACGGG
rnacentral:rRNA from 1 species